rnacentral:tRNA from 1 species
UCAUUUCUAGUUUAUGCGUCAGAAUGUUAGUUUGUCGUACUAGAGGAGGUUGUUUGAGCCGAAGUGGG